AUACGGAAGGUCCGGGCGUUAUCCGGAUUUAUUGGGUUUAAAGGGAGCGCAGGCGGAGAUGCAAGCGUGACGUCAAAUUUCGGGGCUCAACCCCGUCUCGCGUCGCGAACUGCGUCCCUUGGUUGCGGGAAGGGGAGGCGGAACUCGUGGUGUAGCGGGGGAAUGCAUAGAUAUCACGAAGAACUCCGAUCGCGAAGGCAGCCUUCCGGCCCGUCAACGACGCUCAUGCUCGAAGGUGCGGGUAUCAAACAGGAUUAGAUACCCUGGUAGUCCGCACAGUAAACGAUGGACACCCGCGGUUUGGCCUGUAUGGCUGAGCCGCCGAGCGAAAGCGUUAAGUGUCCCACCUGGGGAGUACGCCGGCAACGGUGAAACUCAAAGGAAUUGACGGGG
rnacentral:rRNA from 1 species